AAAAGGCCUGAGGUGGGGUGUGAGCUCAGUGUGCUGGAGGAACAGCCAGGAGGGCAGAGUGGCUGAUGGUUUGAUUUCCCGGAACUAGAGGUUUGGCUUGUACUCUGGGGGAUCCUCAUGGCUGAGACCCAAACCCUGGGCCUGAACCACCCAAGGUAAUGAGAAGCAGGAACAAAGGUCCACUCAUGAAGUUGCUUCUGGAUCGGGAGAGAAUCAUGGGAAGAAGUCUGACACUUGUUUAGGUUUCUGAUAAACUUUCAAACAAUAAGACUGAGUUGGGUAAGAAACUACAGAACUCCGACCUUGAAACUCAUGACUUCAUGAAACUGCUAACAGAAGAUUAAGAUCAAGAAUCAAUUAUACAGAACUGAAGG
rnacentral:lncRNA from 1 species